AUUGAACGCUGGCGGCAUGCCUUACACAUGCAAGUCGAACGGCAGCGCGGACUUCGGUCUGGCGGCGAGUGGCGAACGGGUGGGUAAUACAUCGGAACGUACCCUGUUGUGGGGGAUAACUAGUCGAAAGAUUAGCUAAUACCGCAUACGACCUGAGGGUGAAAGUGGGGGACCGCAAGGCCUCACGCAGCAGGAGCGGCCGAUGUCUGAUUAGCUAGUUGGUGGGGUAAAGGCCCACCAAGGCGACGAUCAGUAGCUGGUCUGAGAGGACGAUCAGCCACACUGGGACUGAGACACGGCCCAGACUCCUACGGGAGGCAGCAGUGGGGAAUUUUGGACAAUGGGGGCAACCCUGAUCCAGCAAUGCCGCGUGUGUGAAGAAGGCCUUCGGGUUGUAAAGCACUUUUGUCCGGAAAGAAAUCGCGCUGGUUAAUACCUGGCGUGGAUGACGGUACCGGAAGAAUAAGCACCGGCUAACUACGUG
rnacentral:rRNA from 1 species